rnacentral:antisense_RNA from 19 species
AGCUAUGGCGGGCGGUGCGUGGAGGCCUUGCGCCUGCCCGGUCAUCCACACACGGGGUUUCGAACCAUGCACCGUCCGCCACCUUU